GACGAACGCUGGCGGCGUGCUUAACACAUGCAAGUCGAGCGGCGCGGCGAACGGGUGAGUAACGCGUGAGUAACUGCACCCCUCUCUGGGAUCACAGUUGGAAACGGCAGCUAAUACCGGAUAGUGUGGGAUGACUCGGGUCCAAUCAGCUUGUUGGUGGGGUAGUGGCCCACCAAGCCGACGACCGGUAGCCGGCCUGGGAGGGCGACCGGCCACAUUGGGCUGAGAGACGGCCCAAACUCCUACGGGAGGCAGCGGUGGGGAAUAUUGCACAGUGGGGGAAACCCUGAUGCAGCAACGCCGCGGGCGGGAUGACGGCCUUCGGGUUGUAAACCGCUUUCAGCCAUGACGCGGUAGUGGCAGAAGAAGCACCGGCUAACUACGUGCCAGCAGCCGCGGUAAUUC
rnacentral:rRNA from 1 species